UACGUAGGGGGCAAGCGUUAUCCGGAUUUACUGGGUGUAAAGGGAGCGUAGGCGGUGCAGCAAGUCAGAAGUGAAAGCCCGGGGCUCAACUCCGGGACUGCUUUUGAAACUGUUGAACUAGAUUGCAGGAGAGGUAAGUGGAAUUCCUAGUGUAGCGGUGAAAUGCGUAGAUAUUAGGAGGAACACCAGUGGCGAAGGCGGCUUACUGGACUGUAAAUGACGCUGAGGCUUGAAAGCGUGGGGAGCAAACAGG
rnacentral:rRNA from 1 species